rnacentral:lncRNA from 10 species
UGGGCACCCCCAGUCUUUCCAUCCUCCUCAUUCGUCUAGGGGCACCCGAAUCCCCUAUUCCUUAUUUCCCCUAUCACUCAGGCACUGGCAGGGUCCUUUGCCCACUCCUGUUGGCCGCUGCGGCUCCAAAGCGAGAUGUGCCUGAGACAGGUUUGACCAGGCAACUGAAAAGACAUCCCUAAGAGAAGACAAAGCAAAGGUAUGAAAGGAACACACGUCCCUGACUGACUAGGAGGAACAGAGCUGCCUGCUAUCUGGAACAACUUCCUCCCAGACUAAGUGAGAAAUAAACUUCUGUUUUCUAUAUGC